rnacentral:lncRNA from 1 species
UAUGAAUCCAGUGGAAUUGACAACGAAAACUGUCAAUCUGGAUGACGGGGAAUGUGUCCUCUGUGAUCCCGUGAAGAGCUUGUGUCCACCAUAAAAAACAAUAGGACAUAGGGAAAAUAGAAGGGAAGAAUGAAAAAAGAACUUCUGAGGUCGUGUCCACAACAGACCAGAUGAGAAUGGCAGUUUUCCUGAAAUCAGAGGACAGGCAGUGAGCCUCCUGAUAUGAAAAUGGAACACGGGUUCUCUGCAAGAGCAACAAGCAUCCUUAACCACUGAGCCAUUGCUCCAGCCCCAGAAGCUUGAGAGUCUGAGAAUGAAAUGGGUUUUUAAGGCCGAAUCUGCCACAGUGUGCAAAGGAGAAUUUCUACAUGGGCAACUUCUGCCCUGACACCCAUGUUUUCCCCACAGUCUAACCAGGACCUUCCCUGUUUCCUUCUGCCCCAGAGGUGACUUUGCUGGCCCAAGAACCAGGAGUUUCGUGAACAUUUGCCUUCUUCACCUGUUCUGAGGCAGCAGCCUGAGCAGCGCCCUGCACCGACUGUUGCUUGAGCUCCUGCAUUUUCAGACACAGCUCCUGCUGGUUUUCCCAGAGAUGGUGAUGUCCUCAGGCUGUUGAUAUCCCUUAGGAGGUAGAAGAGUGACUACAGACCCCAGAGGGCUGCAAAGAUGUGGGGGAGGGGCACUGUUUGCCUCCCCGUGGCCCUGGUCAGGCACAGCAGAUGGAGAACUACCAGUAAGAACACUUCCCGGAUGAUGUCCAGUAACAAGCCCAUUUUCCUCCAUGACUGAGUCACUGGGAACACUGACGUAGCUGGAUUCUACAAGGUAAUCAUCCUCUGACUUCCCGGAAUCUUGUAAUGAGUCAUCUCUCAGAAGUUCACAUUCCCUUUAUCUUUCACCAAACUUUAUCUAUUAAAAUCAAUAGUGUUGUGACUGGUCACUGUAGAUGCUGGAGCAGCCUAUCAGCUUACACGGUUCACCUGCGGCUCUAAGGCAAAGGCAGUUGCAGUCAACACACUCAGCUCCUGUGACUCCACCUCCCGUGUUAUACCCUAGACCUCCAGACACAGCACUCUUAUUUGCCUGAUACUUUGUUUCUCUGUCUUCCAGAAUGAGACAUAGACCUAGCAAGUCUUACAUGAAAAGCCACUGGUACAAGGUAAACUAUCUAUCCAUCGGUGCAAUACUCCCAUCUACCAGGCAAGGUUUGCCAACUAGGGCAAUAGCGGCACAAGUGCUACAGUGGUAACCAACUACUUUCAGCUUGGCUCUGAGGUUUGCUACACUGCGUUUUAAGCACAUAAUUUGCUGCCUGCUGUACAGCUCUUGUUCACUUCAGUUCUUCCUCUUCUGGCCUCAAUACGAAGACAAUCAUAAAUUUUACUUAAGAAUGUCAUACAUUACACUAUAAAAAUUCUUUUAACUUUUUUUUUUAACCUUUGAGAACUCAGUCUUAAAAGCUGGAGUGAAAAUGCUCUACUUUCUUACACAUUUGCCAUGAUGGUGCUCUCCUCCAUGGGAGGGCAUUUUCUUCAGGUGCUCUCCCUCUGCCCCUCUCUGUGUUCUGUCGGCUGAUAAGAAGUCAGUGUAAAGCUUCCUUUACCUACAGAAGUUUAUCUCAUCUCCAUUUCUGAAAUGUGCUUUAGUAACAUUCAAUAUAUGAUAAAUAAAGCAGUCUCUCAAUGUCCGA